rnacentral:lncRNA from 1 species
AAAAGCCAAACACUAAAUAUCAGCAUGAGAGUUCAGCCAGGUAUGACUUUAUCACUCUGAUUUUGCGCAUGUCUUGUUGACACGUCACAGCAUGACAACACACACUGAGGUAAGUUGUUUGUUUAGCCAGGGCCUUUCUAACCAUCCCUAUCUGUAUGUUUCCCUUCAUGAACCCCGUUGAGCCUUAGCCAUUUUAUUCAUCAUAAACCCCCUGUUAACUAUUAAGCAUUUAUUCAUCAUAAACCCCAUGUUAACUAUUAAUCAUUCAUUUUUUUCAUAACUCGGUAUGAUUGUGUGAAUUGCAAGAUGUGCAAUAAAACUAAGUUUGGGGUGGAAAUCUUGAAAGAGAAGGCAAGUGCAUAAUAAGAGAUCAUACAAAAAGAGAAAUAGUAUGUAUGUUCCUUAAAAAGAAAAAAAAAGAAAAAAAAGAAAAACAAAAGAGAAAAAUGCACUUGUCGAGACUUAAGACUCUAGCACAUAUAAAAUGCUCGAAAAAUUUGAGUAGAAAAAGAGUGAAAUUAACCCCUAGAGUAUACGUGAUGCACGAGAAAAAGAGAAAUAAAAAUCACACAACAUGACUACCAAGUUCAAAACCCUUUGUUAUCCAUUUUUU